GACUCUGGCAGCGGCUCUGCGAUAUAUCCGGAUGCAACUGUCACGGCUGCUAUCAGUGAGGGCCCGGAAUGGAGAUCGAGUCAAGGGUUGCUCAGGGGCACUUAGAGCCUUUGGUUUCAAGGAGGCCUCUGAAAGGACAAAGGAUGAGAUUGUCUGGUGGCAGGGUGCACCCAGCAGUCCUAGGAGCUGUAUCGCCGCUCUUCCAGUUAACUUGCCGCUACGUUUUUCUGGAAAAGUCACUCUUCUUGGCAGGGGUGUCCUAUAGGUUUUGUCAUGGAGUGAAACAGAAACAAAUGGAUUCCCAAGAGCUUUGAAUGAGAUUUAAGAUUACUUCUAGUAACCUUGCUUGCCAGACCCAUGGUGGAUGUAAUUAACCAUCUGUGCUCGUAAAUCAGGAAACUGAAAAACUGUGAAAACACUCCGACCUCAAUUGAGAUAUCCCUGACUCUAGGCCAGUGAUUUUCAACCUUGACUGCACAUUGGAAUCAACUGGGGAGCCUUCAAAACUACUGGCAUGUGGGUUCCAGCCUCAGAGAUUCUGAUGUAACACACGGACAGUCAAAUUGGAAACACUGUAAAUUGGCUCAAUUGGUUCAUCUUUUACUGCUGUACAGAAGAUUUCAUUGUAUAAGUACUUCACAACUCAGGUACUGAUUUCCAGUUGAUGAACCAUUUCAAAUGUUUGUUAUUUCAAGCAAUACUAUAAUGAAAGUUGUUGUACUUUUCUCCCUGUGAAUGUUCCUCUGGGGUAUAUACUGAGAAGUUUGAAUUGGCAGAUCAAAGGUUGAGCAUCUUCAACUUUA